rnacentral:rRNA from 1 species
UACGUAGGGUGCAAGCGUUAAUCGGAAUUACUGGGCGUAAAGCGUGCGCAGGCGGUGAUGUAAGACAGGUGAUGAAAUCCCGGGCCUUAACCUGGGAACUGCAUUUGUGACUGCAUCGCUGGAGUGCGGCAGAGGGGGAUGGGAAUUCCGGCGUGUAGCAGUGAAAUGCGUAGAUAUGCGGAGGAACACCGAUGGCGAAGGCGGGUCUCUGGGACCGGAUACUGGACGCUGAGGAGCGAAAGCGUGGGAGCAAAC